rnacentral:rRNA from 1 species
UACGUAGGGGGCAAGCGUUAUCCGGAUUUACUGGGUGUAAAGGGAGCGUAGACGGCAGUGCAAGUCUGAAGUGAAAGGCAAGGGCUCAACCCUUGGACUGCUUUGGAAACUGUGCUGCUGGAGUGUCGGAGAGGCAAGUGGAAUUCCUAGUGUAGCGGUGAAAUGCGUAGAUAUUAGGAGGAACACCAGUGACGAAGGCGGCUUGCUGGACGAUGACUGACGUUGAGGCUCGAAAGCGUGGGGAGCAAACAGG